rnacentral:rRNA from 1 species
GGGGAUGACGUCAAGUCAUCAUGGCCCUUAUGGGCUGGGCUACACACGUGCUACAAUGGUGGUGACAGAGGGCAGCUAGACGGCGACGUCAUGCUAAUCCCAAAAAGCCAUCUCAGUUCGGAUUGCACUCUGCAACUCGGGUGCAUGAAGUUGGAAUCGCUAGUAAUCGUGGAUCAGCAUGCCACGGUGAAUACGUUCCCGGGCCUUGUACACACCGCCCGUCGCACCAUGGGAG